AUAAAGCUUUAGUUUUCACAGUUUUAGUGUAACAGUAUUUUAAUGUGUUCAGAUAUGAUUUUAACAUGUGCACCUGUUUCCAUUUAAAGGUUCCUCAAUUCAAAAUAUAAAAACUUCCAAUGUUUCCCAUCGGCCCUUUCACUUUCGGGCCAUCUUUGGGUACUAAUUUAUUGUUAAGGUUGGUGCUAUUUGCAGCACAGGCAGGUCCAAUGAAGGAACUUCAAUAGACUGAUGAGGACCAGCCUAUAACAGUCAGAUGAAUGAACAUGCAGGUACAGACAACAGGUUUUUCACAAUCCUCUGGAGUAAGAUCCUCCUUGAAGCAGAGAUGUCUUUGCUUCAGGCAGAUCGAGUAGACACAGAUCCCUCCUCUUUUUUUUUUGAAGCGCACCACCUCCAAAACUUUGCUUUCCAAAAGCUGGACCUUUUCUUUGUCUUUGUAUUCUAGCUUUUAUGUCUUGCAUGUCUGCGGAGAGAAAGUUCAUUGAAGAUUUGAGCCCCAUAACAGACUACAAUGUUGUCUGCUGUUGCUUGUUCCUUUUUCCUUUUUUUUUUUGAUAAAGGCAAUUUUGUAGGAGUAACAAGUGGGUGGCCUUCACUUUUCAUUUUAGCUUUGGUAUGUAAUAUUACUGCAAUUCAGCAGAUUAUGUCUCUGAUGUGGUUCUUUGAGUGCUUCUUUGAGCCGCCAUCUUGGCCUCGACUUUCUCAUUACCCAGAGUAACUCACGUUCUCGGAGUACUGAGCACAUGCAGAGCCCUCAAACUGUUGUUAUAUAGAAUUUUUCCUCUGCAGGAACAAUCGUGUAUAUAGUGAUAUUUACAUUUGUGUAAAAGUGGUUCAUGUAAGGGGCGCCUCAGUGGCUCACCUGGUAGAGAGUGUACCAUUAGGACUGGGCUCGAAUCUGACCCACGACCCCUUGCU